rnacentral:rRNA from 1 species
GACAGAGGGUGCAAACGUUGCUCGGAAUCACUGGGCUUAAAGCGUGUGUAGGCGGAUCGUUAAGUACCUUGUGAAAUCCCACGGCUCAACCGUGGAACUGCUGGGUAUACUGGCGAUCUUGAGCCACCUAGGGGCGAGCGGAACAAGCGGUGGAGCGGUGAAAUGCGUAGAUAUCGCUUGGAACGCCAAUGGUGAAAACAGCUCGCUGGGGGUGUGCUGACGCUGAGACACGAAAGCCAGGGGAGCGAACGGG